UACGUAGGGGGCAGGCGUUGUCCGGAAUGAUUGGGCGUAAAGGGCGCGUAGGCGGCCUUUUAAGUCUGAAGUGAAAGUCCUGCUUUUAAGGUGGGAAUUGCUUUGGAUACUGGGAGGCUUGAGUGCAGGAGAGGUAAGUGGAAUUCCCAGUGUAGCGGUGAAAUGCGUAGAGAUUGGGAGGAACACCAGUGGCGAAGGCGACUUACUGGACUGUAACUGACGUUGAGGCUCGAAAGCGUGGGGAGCAAAC
rnacentral:rRNA from 1 species